rfam:Picea glauca, whole genome shotgun sequence.
AACAUGGUGUCUUUAGACACCACACUAUAUUUUUGAAAAAUUAUUU